UUUUCUGGGGCUCGUAGCUAGAGUGCCUUCAUGAUAGAAGGUAUUUUUUUUUUUUUUUACUUUUGAACAAUAUUGGAACUAUAAGCCUUUUAAAAAGUAUUUCUUUUCAUUUCAUUUAUUUAUUUUUGUGCGUGUUGCGGGUGUUGGAGGCAUAUGUGUGCAAUGACAUGUAUAGAGGCUAGAAGACAGCUUGUAGGAGUCUGUUCUCUCCUUCCACCACAUGUAUCUUGGGGAUACAACUCAGAUUGUCAGACUUGCUGGCACAUACCUUUAUCUGCUGAGCCAUCUUGCCGGGCUGACUGUAGGAAGUUUCAAAGUUGGACUGAAGACUGGUGUGUGUCGAGGUGCAGAACUGAAGAACUUCUGCAGGGAUUCUGUGUUUAUUUUCAUCUCUCAAGGUCCUCCCCUGGCUCCAUACACAGAAUCCCAGUUGGCGCUUGUGUGGAAGCUGUUGAAAAAUCAAAGACACAGUUUUGAUCGUGAAUCUUCACUGCCGCCUUGAUUGGGUUUAGAAUCACUGUAGCAGCAUACCUUUGGGGAGUCUACCAGAGCUUUCCAGAAAGGUCUAACUGAGGAAUGCAGGGCUGAAGACUUCACAGAAUAAACAGGAGAAAAGCAGCAUUCAUCUCUCUGCUUGCUGACUGUGGAUGCAGAUGGAGCACGAUGAACAGCCACCUCAUGUUCCCACCACUGUGCCUUUCCCAUAGGAUGGACUAUAUGGACUAUAUCGCUUCUCAAACUGUGAACCAAAAUAAACCCUUCUGUGUUGUGGAGUAUUUAACUGUGCAAAGAUGUGUUACAUUUGUUUAUGCUGCAUCUGUUUAACGAUGUAGUGUAUUUAAUGAUGUAAAGGCGUGUUGCAUUUGUUUAUGCUGCAGAAUAUUACUUUAACUGUGUAAUGGUGUGUUACAUUUGUUUAUGCUGGAUUUGUUUAAUGAUGUAAGGAUGUGUUUAAUUAUGUAAAGAUGUGUUACAUUUGUUUAUGCUGCAUUUGUUUAACGAUGUAAUGUAUUUAAUGAUGUAAAGAUGUGUUGCAUUUAUUUCAUCUUGCCUGCCUAAGGCACCCGAUUGGUCUAAUAAAAAGUUGAACGGUCAGUAGCUAGGCAGAGAAAGGAUAGGCAGAACUGCGGGCAGAGAGAAUAAAUAGAAGAAAAAACGGGGAGAGAAAGAAGGAGAAGAGAACGAGGGAGAAAGACAGGGACACACCUGGAGCCAGAAGCCAGGCAGCUGCCAGCCAGAUGUGAGAAGCAGUGAAAGUAAGAUAUACAGAAGGAAAGAGAGGUAAACAGCCCCGAGGUGAAAGGUAGAUAAAGAGAAACAGGCUAAUUUAAGUUAAAAGAGCUAGCCAGAAAUGAGCCCAAGCUAGGCUGAACAUUCAUAACAACUAAGUCUCUGUGUCAUGAUUUGGGAGCUGGCUGGUUGGUGGCCUGAAAGAAAAAGCCUGGUACACUUCUGUCAUUACUUCUUGUCAGAUAUUUGGUCAAAACAACAAGAAAAACAACUUACAGUCCCAUCUCCAAAAAGACAACAGAACAUUAAAAAAGAUGUUUGGUGUCUUAGAGUAGAAACCUCUGGGGAAGAAGAGUGUAUUAUAGCAUCAUGAAAUAUCCUUGCAGUUAAUUUUCAAGCUAGUUUUCCAGGCUUGAUGCAAAAGGAUAGUUUAGCAAUGCUUUAAGAAAUAAAAGACAUACACAUGUGUGCUCCCAAUGAUAUUACCAUCUUAUCCUUCUUAUUUAAAAAAAACCUUUGAGCAUGGGUGUUAUAACAAAAGUAAAACUAGACAACCUGAUAUAAGUGGCAUUGUGAUGGGAAAAAUCCUGCACGAUUUAUUAUCUUCAAAGGAAAACAUUAGAAACUCUGAUGUUUGCUAUGGAAGACAGAUUUCAAUUGCAGGUAGGAAUGACAAUGAAGGAGCUAUUUCUAAUAAUAAAUGAGAUAGUGUUGGGCUCUUCAACCGAGUUCUCACCUCAUCGAUCCAUAUAACAGGUUUUUAAAUUUGUGGUGAUACCAAUCGCAAUGCAACAAAUAAAGACAUUCAUUUAGUAAUGAACACA